UGGCGGGGCAUGCCGCACGCCCAAGGCUUCAAGGCUUGUGCCACGUGCCGCAAGCCUAUGCCGAUAAGCGAUCCCCACGACUCGUGUCUCCGUUGCCUGGGGGAAGCGCACCAAAAAGAGCGCUGCAAGCUCUGUAAGGCCUUCAAGCCCAGGACUAAGAAAGAGAGAGACUUUUGCCUUAAGCAGUUGCUCAUGGAGGCUGCAUUACAGCCCUCUUCUUUGGCACAGCAGGCCACGGCACCGUCAACUUCAGUGCAGAGUGCCCCGGCAUUGGUUCGUGAUCCGGCACCGGCGGGGCACCCUAAGCCUAUGGCACCGACACAGCAGGACCGCCCCCCCGCACUGGUCAUCUUCGCCAGCAAAAUCGAAGGGCCAACCCAAGGCCCGAGGACGCUCCCCACAUAAGAGGGCAGCGCCUGCGAAGACCUCGAGUGCGCCUAAGGGCGUGGCGACCCCAGGACAGAUCCCGGUGCCAGUGGCUCCGGUGCCGAAAGGCCCGUCGAGCCCCGGGAUAGGCACAUCGAGUGAGGAGGAAGGACUGGAGGAGCUUUUGGAACAGCCCUCCACCCCGGACAUGUUUGAGGCAGCAAAGGACCUCAUCGUAUUGUCCGCUGAGGGCCCCCUCCAAGCCAAGGACAAUCCGCCGAGACUGCCAUCCAGAGACAAGCCGGCAAUGGUGCGCCCAUCACGGUCACCAUUUCGGCACCAUUCACGGCGCCGAUCCCGGUCGAGCUCCACCUCGGUGGACUCCCGGCUACCCUCGGCGCAGAGGGCCACACAGCUGUCGGGCCCGAAUAAGCGCCCGGCACCGACCCAGCAGUCCUACUCAAGUAGGCACCGGGACGUGUCAGCCACGCGAUCCCCGAGACCAACCACUCGCAGUCGUUCCCGGUCCCGAGGUCACCGGUACCGGUCUAGGUCCAGGUCGGCAAGACGCUACUCCCGGUCACGGAGGCACUACUCUCCGACCCCGGGCCGGUACUGUCCCACGGCACCACCGUGGC
rnacentral:lncRNA from 1 species